rnacentral:rRNA from 1 species
UACGUAGGGGGCAAGCGUUGUCCGGAUUUAUUGGGCGUAAAGCGCACGCAGGCGGUGCGGUAAGUUUCGAGUGACAGGUGGUGGCUUAACUGCCACAGGACUCGGAAAACUGCUGCACUUGAGGGCUUGAGAGGGAUGCGGAAUUCCAGGUGUAGCGGUGAAAUGCGUAGAUAUCUGGAGGAACACCGGUGGCGAAGGCAGGUCUCUGGGCCACUACUGACGCUGAGAAGCGAAAGCAUGGGGAGCGAACAGG